GACGAACGCUGGCGGCGUGCUUAACACAUGCAAGUCGAACGGAAAGGCCCUGCUUUUGUGGGGUGCUCGAGUGGCGAACGGGUGAGUAACACGUGAGUAACCUGCCCUUGACUUUGGGAUAACUUCAGGAAACUGGGGCUAAUACCGGAUAGGAGCUCCUGCUGCAUGGUGGGGGUUGGAAAGUUUCGGCGGGUGGGGAUGGACUCGCGGCUUAUCAGCUUGUUGGUGGGGUAGUGGCUUACCAAGGCUUUGACGGGUAGCCGGCCGGAGAGGGUGACCGGCCCCAUUGGGCCUGCGAUACGGCCCAGACUCCUCCGUGAGGCCGCAGUGGGGACUAUUGCACACCGGGCGGACGCCUGCUGCAGCCACGCCCCGUGCGUGAUGACGGCCUUCUGGUUGUAAACCGCUUUCGCCUGUGACGAAGCGUUAGUGCCGGUACUGGGUAAAGAAGCACCGGCUCACUACGUG
rnacentral:rRNA from 1 species